rnacentral:rRNA from 1 species
GACGAACGCUGGCGGCGUGCCUAAUACAUGCAAGUAGAACGCUGAAGCUUGGUGCUUGCACCGAGCGGAUGAGUUGCGAACGGGUGAGUAACGCGUAGGUAACCUGCCUGGUAGCGGGGGAUAACUAUUGGAAACGAUAGCUAAUACCGCAUAAGAGUAGAUGUUGCAUGACAUUUGCUUAAAAGGUGCAAUUGCAUCACUACCAGAUGGACCUGCGUUGUAUUAGCUAGUUGGUGAGGUAACGGCUCACCAAGGCAACGAUACAUAGCCGACCUGAGAGGGUGAUCGGCCACACUGGGACUGAGACACGGCCCAGACUCCUACGGGAGGCAGCAGUAGGGAAUCUUCGGCAAUGGACGGAAGUCUGACCGAGCAACGCCGCGGGAGUGAAGAAGGGUUUCGGAUCGUAAAGCUCUGUUGUAAGAGAAGAACGAGUGUGAGAGUGGAAAGUUCACACUGUGACGGUAUCUUACCAGAAAGGGACGGCUAACUACGUG